GUGAAUACAUAGCGUUAGGAGGCGAACCGGGAGAACUGAAACAUCUAAGUACCCCGAGGAAAAGAAAUCAACCGAGAUUUCCUUAGUAGCGGCGAGCGAACGGGAAUUAGCCCUUAAGCGGUUUGUACAUUAGUGGAAUGUGCUGGAAAGCACAGCGAUACAGGGUGAUAGCCCCGUACACGAAAAUAAACUUACCGUGAAAUCGAGUAGGUCGGGACACGAGAAAUCUUGACUGAAUAUGGGGGGACCAUCCUCCAAGGCUAAAUACUCCUAACUGACCGAUAGUGAACCAGUACCGUGAGGGAAAGGCGAAAAGAACCCCUGUGAGGGGAGUGAAAUAGAACCUGAAACCGCAUACGUACAAGCAGUGGAAGCCGGAUUUAGUCCGGUGCCUGCGUACCUUUUGUAUAAUGGGUCAGCGACUUAUGUUCUGUAGCAAGGUUAACCGAAUAGGGGAGCCGUAGCGAAAGCGAGUGUUAACUGCGCGUUUAGUUGCAGGGCAUAGACCCGAAACCCGGCGAUCUACC
rnacentral:rRNA from 1 species